GAUAAACGCUGGCGGCGCACAUAAGACAUGCAAGUCGAACGAACUUAAUUCGAAUGUUUACAUUUGGAAGCGGUUAGUGGCGGACUGGUGAGUAACACGUAAGCAACCUGCCUAUCAGAGGGGAAUAACAGUGAGAAAUCAUUGCUAAUACCGCAUAUGCUGUGAGUAUCGCAUGAUACAAACAGGAAAGGAGCAAUCCGCUGAUAGAUGGGCUUGUGUCUGAUUAGAUAGUUGGUGGGGUAAUGGCCUACCAAGUCGACGAUCAGUAGCCGGGCUGAGAGGUUGAACGGCCACAUUGGGACUGAGAUACGGCCCAGACUCCUACGGGAGGCAGCAGUCGGGAAUAUUGCACAAUGGAGGAAACUCUGAUGCAGUGACGCCGCGUGCAGGAAGAAGGUUUUCGGAUUGUAAACUGCUUUAGAUAGGGAAGGUAAAAGACUGUACCUAUAGAAUAAGCUCCGGCUAACUACGUGCCAGCAGCCGCGGUAAAAC
rnacentral:rRNA from 1 species